CAGAACCAGAGCUCCUGAAAUACUAAACAAUGUUUCUUGAUUUGACUUGAACCUAGAAUUAUGUGCCCUAAGACUUGAGAGUUCUCUGUUUUGUUAGCCUGUCUUGGUAGCAUUCUUCCGCAGUAUCAAGGGACUACUUUAAUCAUAAUCAAAUUCAGCAAUUCUGGUAAGACCUUCACAACUCUGUUUAAAGGUUGCCACUGAUAAAUUAGGAUUUGUACAAGGUUGUGGUAGCACUGGAUGCAUGUAUGUUGGGAAGACAUUAAUCAGAUGAUUCAGAAUGGAUGAUGAAGGUUAACUUUGCAUCGAAUUAUAACAUCAAGAUCAUAUCAGGAGAUAAUUAUGAGUGAGAACUGAACCUUAUUUAGUAUACAGAGGUGAUGAGGAAUGGUGAUGUCUGAAAAUGGAAUUGUAAGAAAAGAAUUUAAGAAAUCACAUAAAGAUAGUAGUUGGGAAACUUCUACACUCUGCCCAACAGUUCUGGAAGAGUUAACAUAGUGAGUACUUCCCAAGGCUUGAAGAAGA